rnacentral:tRNA from 5 species
UCCACAGUAGCUCAGUGGUAGAGCUAUCGGCUGUUAACCGAUCAGUCGUAGGUUCGAGUCCUACCUGUGGAGCCA